rnacentral:rRNA from 1 species
GAAGGGGGCGAGCGUUGUUCGGAUUUACUGGGCGUAAAGGGCGCGCAGGCGGCGAGUUUUGUCAGGCGUGAAAGCCCCGGGCUUAACCUGGGAAUGGCGCUUGGGACGGGUUCGCUAGAGAUCGGGAGAGGAGCGUGGAAUUCCCAGUGUAGAGGUGAAAUUCGUAGAUAUUGGGAAGAACACCGGUGGCGAAGGCGGCGCUCUGGACCGAGACUGACGCUGAGGCGCGAAAGUGUGGGGAGCAAACAGGAUUAGAUACCCUGGUAGUCCACGCUGUAAACGAUGUGUGCUAGACGUUGGGGAGCCUAGCUCUUCGGUGUCGCAGCUAACGCGGUAAGCACACCGCCUGGGGAGUACGGCCGCAAGGUUA